rnacentral:rRNA from 1 species
UGACGAGUGGCGGACGGGUGAGUAAUGUCUGGGAAACUGCCUGAUGGAGGGGGAUAACUACUGGAAACGGUGGCUAAUACCGCAUAACGUCGCAAGACCAAAGAGGGGGACCUUCGGGCCUCUUGCCAUCAGAUGUGCCCAGAUGGGAUUAGCUUGUUGGUGAGGUAACGGCUCACCAAGGCGACGAUCCCUAGCUGGUCUGAGAGGAUGACCAGCCACACUGGAACUGAGACACGGUCCAGACUCCUACGGGAGGCAGCAGUGGGGAAUAUUGCACAAUGGGCGCAAGCCUGAUGCACCCAUGCCGCGUGUAUGAAGAAGGCCUUCGGGUUGUAAAGUACUUUCAGCGGGGAGGAAGGUGUUGUGGUUAAUAACCGCAGCAAUUGACGUUACCCGCAGAAGAAGCACCGGCUAACUCCGUGCCAGCAGCCGCGGUAAUACGGAGGGUGCAAGCGUUAAUCGGAAUUACUGGGCGUAAAGCGCACGCAGGCGGUCUGUCAAGUCAGAUGUGAAAUC